GACGAACGCUGGCGGCGUGCUUAACACAUGCAAGUCGAACGGAAAGGCCCUGCUUUUGUGGGGUGCUCGAGUGGCGAACGGGUGAGUAACACGUGAGUAACCUGCCCUUGACUUUGGGAUAACUUCAGGAAACUGGGGCUAAUACCGGAUAGGAGCUCCUGCUGCAUGGUGGGGGUUGGAAAGUUUCGGCGGUUGGGGAUGGACUCGCGGCUUAUCAGCUUGUUGGUGGGGUAGUGGCUUACCAAGGCUUUGACGGGUAGCCGGCCUGAGAGGGUGACCGGCCACAUUGGGACUGAGAGACGGCCCAGACUCCUACGGGAGGCAGCAGGGGGGAGUAUUGCACAGUGGGGGGAAGCCUGAUGCAGCAGCGCCGCGUGCGGGAUGACGGCCUUCGGGUUGUAAACCGCUUUCGCCUGUGACGAAGCGUGAGUGACGGUAAUGGGUAAAGAAGCACCGGCUAACUACGUG
rnacentral:rRNA from 1 species